UGGGGAAUUGUUCGCAAUGGGCGCAAGCCUGACGACGCAACGCCGCGUGGAGGAUGAAGAUCUUCGGGUCGUAAACUCCUGUCGAGCGGGACGAACACUUAUCCGGUUAAUACUCGGGUAGGCUGACGGUACCGCUAAAGGAAGCCCCGGCUAACUCCGUGCCAGCAGCCGCGGUAAUACGGGGGGGGCAAGCGUUGUUCGGAAUUACUGGGCGUAAAGGGCUCGUAGGCGGCCAACUAAGUCGGACGUGAAAUCCCCAGGCUCAACCUGGGAACUGCGUCCGAUACUGGAUGGCUUGAAUCCGGGAGAGGGAUGCAGAAUUCCAGGUGUAGCGGUGAAAUGCGUAGAUAUCUGGAGGAAUACCGGUGGCGAAGGCGGCAUCCUGGACCGGCAUUGACGCUGAGGAGCGAAAGCCAGGGGAGCAAACGGG
rnacentral:rRNA from 1 species